rnacentral:rRNA from 2 species
CGCACGGGUGAGUAAGGUAUAGUUAAUCUGCCCUACACAAGAGGACAACAGUUGGAAACGACUGCUAAUACUCUAUACUCCUGCUUAACACAAGUUGAGUAGGGAAAGUUUUUCGGUGUAGGAUGAGACUAUAUAGUAUCAGCUAGUUGGUAAGGUAAUGGCUUACCAAGGCUAUGACGCUUAACUGGUCUGAGAGGAUGAUCAGUCACACUGGAACUGAGACACGGUCCAGACUCCUACGGGAGGCAGCAGUAGGGAAUAUUGCGCAAUGGGGGAAACCCUGACGCAGCAACGCCGCGUGGAGGAUGACACUUUUCGGAGCGUAAACUCCUUUUCUUAGGGAAGAAUUCUGACGGUACCUAAGGAAUAAGCACCGGCUAACUCCGUGCCAGCAGCCGCGGUAAUACGGAGGGUGCAAGCGUUACUCGGAAUCACUGGGCGUAAAGGGCGCGUAGGCGGAUUAUCAAGUCUCUUGUGAAAUCUAAUGGCUUAACCAUUAAACUGCUUGGGAAACUGAUAGUCUAGAGUGAGGGAGAGGCAGAUGGAAUUGGUGGUGUAGGGGUAAAAUCCGUAGAUAUCACCAAGAAUACCCAUUGCGAAGGCGAUCUGCUGGAACUCAACUGACGCUAAGGCGCGAAAGCGUGGGGAGCAAACAGGAUUAGAUACCCUGGUAGUCCACGCCCUAAACGAUGUACACUAGUUGUUGGGGUGCUAGUCAUCUCAGUAAUGCAGCUAACGCAUUAAGUGUACCGCCUGGGGAGUACGGUCGCAAGAUUAAAACUCAAAGGAAUAGACGGGGACCCGCACAAGCGGUGGAGCAUGUGGUUUAAUUCGAAGAUACGCGAAGAACCUUACCUGGGCUUGAUAUCCUAAGAACCUUUUAGAGAUAAGAGGGUGCUAGCUUGCUAGAACUUAGAGACAGGUGCUGCACGGCUGUCGUCAGCUCGUGUCGUGAGAUGUUGGGUUAAGUCCCGCAACGAGCGCAACCCACGUAUUUAGUUGCUAACGGUUCGGCCGAGCACUCUAAAUAGACUGCCUUCGUAAGGAGGAGGAAGGUGUGGACGACGUCAAGUCAUCAUGGCCCUUAUGCCCAGGGCGACACACGUGCUACAAUGGCAUAUACAAUGAGACGCAAUACCGCGAGGUGGAGCAAAUCUAUAAAAUAUGUCCCAGUUCGGAUUGUUCUCUGCAACUCGAGAGCAUGAAGCCGGAAUCGCUAGUAAUCGUAGAUCAGCCAUGCUACGGUGAAUACGUUCCCGGGUCUUGUACUCACCGCCCGUCACACCAUGGGAGUUGAUUUCACUCGAAGCCGGA